AUAUUAUUAAGGGGAGGAAAAGAAACUAACAAGGAUUCCCUAGUAAGGGCGACUGAAGCGGGAAGAGCUCACACUGAAAAUCGGAGACCCAAGCGGGUGUUCCGAAUUGUAGUCUGUCGACGUGUUGUCAGCGCGUGACCCAGGCAGAAGUCGCUUGGAACAGCGCACCAGAGAGGGUGACAGUCCCGUUCUUGGCUUGGAGUUCGCCGCGUACGAACACACGUUCUUAGAGUCGAGUUGCUUGGGAAUGCAGCUCUAAGCGGGUGGUAAAUUCAUCGAAAGCUAAAUACCAACGAGAGACCGAUAGCGCACAAGUA
rnacentral:rRNA from 1 species